rnacentral:rRNA from 1 species
AUUGAACGCUGGCGGCAGGCCUAACACAUGCAAGUCGAGCGAGCGGCGGACGGGUGAGUAAUGUAUGGUGAUCUGCCCGAUAGAGGGGGAUAACUACUGGAAAAGGUGGCUAAUACCGCCUACUCUCGGUGUAACCCAUAUGGGAUUAGCUAGUAGGUGGGGUAAAGGCUCACCUAGGCGACGAUCUCUAGCUGGUCCGAGAGGAUGAUCAGCCACACUGGGACUGAGACACGGCCCAGACUCCUACGGGAGGCAGCAGUGGGGAAUAUUGCACAAUGGGCGCAAGCCUGAUGCAGCCAUGCCGCGUGUAUGAAGAAGGCCUUAGGGUUGUAAAGUACUUUCAGCGGGGAGGCGUUACCCGCAGAAGAAGCACCGGCUAACUCCGUGCCAGCAGCCGCGGUAAUUC